CGAAUUCCGUCAUCAUCUCCACCAUAGCGGAUCAUCCUUUGAUCUCCCCGUGAAUUGCAACAGGUUCUGGUUUCCUACCUUACUGCUGCUACAAUUUAGUUAUCCUUAUUCGAAAAUCCAAAAAAAAAAUUUGUUCCUAUAUUGCUGCAUAAACUUUUCAUCACAAAGUUUUCAUCUCUACGACGAAAGAUACAUUACAGAAUUCCAACCGCAU
rnacentral:lncRNA from 1 species